rnacentral:rRNA from 1 species
GACGAACGCUGGCGGCGUGCCUAAUACAUGCAAGUAGAACGCUGAAGAGAGGAGCUUGCUCUUCUUGGAUGAGUUGCGAACGGGUGAGUAACGCGUAGGUAACCUGCCUGGUAGCGGGGGAUAACUAUUGGAAACGAUAGCUAAUACCGCAUAAAAUUGAUUAUUGCAUGAUAAUUAAUUGAAAGAUGCAACUGCAUCACUACCAGAUGGACCUGCGUUGUAUUAGCUAGUUGGUGAGGUAACGGCUCACCAAGGCGACGAUACAUAGCCGACCUGAGAGGGUGAUCGGCCACACUGGGACUGAGACACGGCCCAGACUCCUACGGGAGGCAGCAGUAGGGAAUCUUCGGCAAUGGGGGGAACCCUGACCGAGCAACGCCGCGUGAGUGAAGAAGGUUUUCGGAUCGUAAAGCUCUGUUGUAAGAGAAGAACGGGUGUGAGAGUGGAAAGUUCACACUGUGACGGUAUCUUACCAGAAAGGGACGGCUAACUACGUGCCAGCAGCCGCGGUAAUACGUAGGUCCCGAGCGUUGUCCGGAUUUAUUGGGCGUAAAGCGAGCGCAGGCGGUUAGAUAAGUCUGAAGUUAAAGGCUGUGGCUUAACCAUAGUAUGCUUUGGAAACUGUUUAACUUGAGUGCAGAAGGGGAGAGUGGAAUUCCAUGUGUAGCGGUGAAAUGCGUAGAUAUAUGGAGGAACACCGGUGGCGAAAGCGGCUCUCUGGUCUGUAACUGACGCUGAGGCUCGAAAGCGUGGGGAGCGAACAGGAUUAGAUACCCUGGUAGUCCACGCCGUAAACGAUGAGUGCUAGGUGUUAGGCCCUUUCCGGGGCUUAGUGCCGCAGCUAACGCAUUAAGCACUCCGCCUGGGGAGUACGACCGCAAGGUUGAAACUCAAAGGAAUUGACGGGGGCCCGCACAAGCGGUGGAGCAUGUGGUUUAAUUCGAAGCAACGCGAAGAACCUUACCAGGUCUUGACAUCCCUCUGACCGCUCUAGAGAUAGAGUUUUCCUUCGGGACAGAGGUGACAGGUGGUGCAUGGUUGUCGUCAGCUCGUGUCGUGAGAUGUUGGGUUAAGUCCCGCAACGAGCGCAACCCCUAUUGUUAGUUGCCAUCAUUCAGUUGGGCACUCUAGCGAGACUGCCGGUAAUAAACCGGAGGAAGGUGGGGAUGACGUCAAAUCAUCAUGCCCCUUAUGACCUGGGCUACACACGUGCUACAAUGGCUGGUACAACGAGUCGCAAGCCGGUGACGGCAAGCUAAUCUCUGAAAGCCAGUCUCAGUUCGGAUUGUAGGCUGCAACUCGCCUACAUGAAGUCGGAAUCGCUAGUAAUCGCGGAUCAGCACGCCGCGGUGAAUACGUUCCCGGACCU